ACUCCUACGGGAGGCAGCAGUGGGGAAUAUUGCACAAUGGGGAAACCCGUAGCAUGCAGCCAUGCCGCGUGUGUGAAGAAGGCCUUCGGGUUGUAAAGUACUUUCAGCAGUGAGGAAGGUAGUGUAGUUAAUAGCUGCAUUAUUUGACGUUAGCUGCAGAAGAAGCACCGGCUAACUCCGUGCCAGCAGCCGCGGUAAUACGGAGGGUGCGAGCGUUAAUCGGAAUUACUGGGCGUAAAGCGCAUGCAGGUGGUUUGUUAAGUCAGAUGUGAAAGCCCGGGGCUCAACCUCGGAAUAGCAUUUGAAACUGGCAGACUAGAGUACUGUAGAGGGGUGG
rnacentral:rRNA from 1 species